rnacentral:rRNA from 1 species
UACGGAGGGUGCAAGCGUUAUCCGGAAUCACUGGGUUUAAAGGGUGCGUAGGCGGCCUUGUAAGUCAGAGGUGAAAUCUUCCCGCUUAACGGGAGAACUGCCUUUGAUACUGCAAAGCUUGAAUGAGCACGAGGCAGGCGGAAUGUGGCAUGUAGCGGUGAAAUGCUUAGAUAUGCCAUAGAACACCGAUUGCGAAGGCAGCCUGCCAGAGCUGUAUUGACGCUGAGGCACGAAAGCGUGGGGAGCGAACAGG